AAUUCAGGUGGACUAGCAUAGUUAAUGGACCUCCCAGCCUUGAGAAGAUAAUUGUUUGACGUUUCUAACAGGAUGGAGGGAAAACACGUGUUCAGGGUGCUUGCACCAUACCAAAGUGUUUAAAGUCACAGAGGUGAAAGCUACGGGAGGAACCUCAAGAUAGCCUCAAAAUCAAAAACAGACUGUUCAAAGCCCAGGUAGAGAUACUUGGAAACAGAGAAGGAAAGCUACUUGCUCAAGAUCAAACAGGAAGUGGCAGAAAUGGGCUUCCAACCUAGCCUGAUGGCAAAGCGAAUGCUCUGCCUCCUGUAUUGUGUGGCUGUCCAGAGUGGGACUAAUAAAUUCUGUCCUUGAUAUCUG